UUUUAUAGUUACGAGAUACAAUGUACGACUAAUUGCUAUUACAAAAUCGCCCAAGGCUUUUACAGAGUACUGUACGCAAACGUGAUCGACGGGAGUAAAAUUGUUAGAGACUUAGUUCACGUGUGGUCUCCCGUGUAGCAAAGUUGAAACAUAUACACGACCCAAACGCACCCGAACCGUCUACGAGCUAAAGUGGGCGGCGUUAUUCUUAGCGAGUAGGGAUACGAUGAACUUGCUUGCCCGAACCGUUUUGCUUGAUUUUUUAACGGUCGCGUCACGAGAGCAACGAAGAGAAAUAUAAAGAUAAAAUAUCGGCUACUGCAGCAGAAACUUGCUGGAAUGCGAACAAAUGAAUAGAAGGAGUCCAGAAGGAAGAAGAAGGAAAAAGAGGGAGGAUGAUAUCGAAUAAAGCGUAGGAGCUAGUUGAAGCGUGAAACGGGAAAGAAAACCGACGAGUACGGCGCCGAACGAGAUGGAUAAGCUUACCAGAAACGGUGGGAACCGGCGAGUGAGGUAGAAAGAGAAAGAAAAGACAAGUGAAUCUUCCUCGCGAUGAAUGGAACUAGAAAAUAUGAAUGGUCUUGGUCAGCGUUUUCGAGUUAUAGCGUUCAACGAGAUAUCCACUAUAUCAAUGUGUAUGUAUUGUCCAUUUCAAAAUAUUUCAAAUGUCGAAUAAUUUGUAAAUGAUGCGUUAAUAUGAAAUGUUAAUUUUGUUUAUACAUCGUUGAUUUUUUAAGAUGGUCUCGAAUAAUUCGUAAAUAACAAACGAAUGCUUUGUCGGUAUAAUGAUAUGAGGAAAAAACGAAACAAAAUGACAAGGGACUUAGAAUAAACGAUUUAAGAAAUGAUAUCUCUAUAUCCAAGAUUUUGGAUAAAAAAAGAGAGGUACAUAUUGUCAACUUUUUAUAAGAAAAAAAUAUUAAUGAUAGUGUUACAAAUGAUUCUAUGUUAGGACGUAAAAUUUGUAGUACUACGUUUGACGAGUUAAUAUAAAAUGUUACUCGACUAUUAGAAUCGAAGCCAAAAAAUACACUCACCGUUUGUUGUUGCUAUAACUGGAUUGUUCACAGUGAUCCAAAUCUGGAAUUAAAUAAAAGAUAAGAUUAGUUGGUUGAUGUAUAAGAAUAAAAUACAUGUAUAGAAAAUUAAAUUAAAUAAUAGAUACAUAUAUAAAAAUAUAUAUUCUACAAGCAUACAUUUCUUCAUUUUCGAUCAGUCGAACGAUCUGCAAGCAUUCCUUCAUUUGUAAAUAUCCUAGAUAGAAAGAGUUCUUAUAUUAAACGCUAUGUUGACCGGAUAGUUAGAUAUGAGAAAAAUAUAAGAACAUGAAAUCGAGCAGUAACGAGUAUAUUUUGCGUAAAAGGUAAAAGAAAAGGUGACCGCAAUACGAAAUAGGGUCGCUAGAAGACCGGAACGCCUUUCCUCCUUAUUGCGUUCACUGUACAGUAUUUCCGCAGGAAGUUGGUGCAGUGUCUGUGACGAGUUCGUUCAUUUUACUGGUUACCAACUUCUUACUAGUACAUAGUUUAUCCUUUUGACUAUUAUUUAUAAACAAAGUAUAUCUUUUACUUAUAAAUAAUCUAUACUAUACCAUAUCUACACUAUAUCUUUUAUAAAUAAAGUAAGUCUUCUUAUGUAAAA